rnacentral:pre_miRNA from 1 species
AAAGUACUCCCUUCGUCCCAAAAUUAUUGUCUUAGAUUUGUCUAGAUACGGAUGUAUCAAGUCACAUUUUAGUAUUAGAUACAUCUGUAUCUAGACAAAUCUAAGACAAGAAAUUUGGGACAGAGGGAGUAGUUG